UUCCUGUUUAAUGGCUCUUCUUUUAUUGCCCUUGAAUCUCUCUUUCUCUGCCUCAAUCCUGCCACUAAUUACUUGUUUUUUUUAACCUCAUGUAAUUCAACAAGAUCAAGUGCAAGGUCCUGCACCCAAAUUGGGACAAUUCUUACCAUCUGUACAGAAUGAGGGAUGGAAGGAUUGAGUGCAGACCUGCAGAGACAGACUUGGAGAUAAUGGGAGGAGGGGAAGCUGAGAGGACGCUGAGACAGGACGCCUGACCCAAACUAACCAAAGAGUCUGCUCUGGUGAGUCUCCACGUAGGAUACUGCAUCCAGCCCCAGGGUCUCCAGUGCAAGAAAGACCUGCUUAUAAAGAAAAUGAAGAUGAAAUGUGGCUUUUAAAAGUCUUCUUUAAUAUAAAAAAUAAUAAAG